CUGGAACUCACUUUGUAGACCAGGCUGGCCUCAAACUUAUAGAGAUCUGCCUAUGUCUGCCUCCUGAGUGCUAUAAU
rnacentral:miRNA from 1 species